rnacentral:lncRNA from 1 species
GUGGUUUCUUUGCUUCUGCUAAAACUUCAUCUGCAGCUCGUUUGACUUGAGUAGAUCGCUGAAGACCUAUUUCUAAGGGAGCGCUUCUGUCUAUACUUGCCGAUGUUGACGCUUCACCAUUGAGAUAUCCAAGUAGAUCUUUUCGAUCAGGUCUUCUAACCACAGGAAUAUUUUCAGUAGCUGCACGUCGGACAUAAACAGGAUGAGAAAGGUGCACGUUAUUAAGUAGAAAUAAAAUGGAAUCCAAUGUGUAGUACUCUCUGGGUUGGCCUUCCUUUCCAGUCCCCCAAACAACAUAGUUGGUCUUCACAUUCUUGGGCCAGGAGAACUCCCCGAAGAUCACUUCGUCUCCCUUCACCACAAUCUCCUUCUUCUGGAUGUUGUACUGUCGCAGGACGCUAAGCACGUCCGCCAUCUUCCCCCCCCUCGCCUCCGCCGGCUCGGGGCGCCGCCGCUGCCGCCGCGCCUGCCUCCUUCUUCUCUUGUCGCCUCGCCCUCUUCCUCCUCCUCCUUCGCCGCCGCGACGAACCAACAGCAGCAGCACUAACAGCCGUCCUCGCCUACGACAGCAGCAGGGGCAGUAGCCACCCAGGCCGCCGAGGACCCCGCGCUGUAAGGCAAGGCCCCGCCGCCGGCUGCCCGCGGAGAACGCCUGACUGCGCCCCUCCAGCGAGGCACAUCCGCCGCCAGGGGGAGCCGCGACCGCCUGGAAAAGUGCCCCUCCCAGACUUCAGCUGGGCACGGAGC